AUGUCUCUGCCUCCUCCUUCUCUUCCUCUUUCUCCUCCUCCUCCUCAUGUCUCUGCCUCUCCUCCUCCUCCUCUUUCUCCUCCUCCUCUUCCUCAUGUCUCUGCCUCCUCCUUCUCUUCCUCUUCCUCAUGUAUCUGCCUCUCCUCCUCUUUCUCCUCCUCAUCCUCCUCAUGUCUCUGCCUCUCCUCUUCCUCCUCCUCCUCCUCUUCCUCAUGUAUCUGCCUCUCCUCUUCCUCCUCCUCCUCCUCAUGUCUCUGCCUCUCCUCCUCCUCCUCCUCUUUCUCCUCCUCCUCUUCCUCAUGUCUCUGCCUCCUCCUUCUCUUCCUCUUCCUAAUGUAUCUGCCUCUCCUCCUCUUUCUCCUCCUCCUCUUCCUCAUGUCUCUGCCUCUCCUCCUCUUCCUCUUCCUCAUGUCUCUGCCUCCUCCUCUUCCUCUUCCUCAUGUCUCUGCCUCUCCUCCUCUUCCUCUUCCUCAUGUCUCUGCCUCCUCCUCUUCCUCUUCCUCAUGUCUCUGCCUCUCCUCCUCUUCCUCUUCCUCAUGUCUCUGCCUCCUCCUCCUCCUCCUCCUCCUCCUCUCCUCUUCCUCAUGUAUCUGCCUCUCCUCCUCUUUCUCCUCCUCCUCCUCCUCCUCUUUCUCCUCCUCCUCCUCCUCCUCCUCCUCCUCAUGUCUCUGCCUCUCCUCCUCUUCCUCUUCCUCAUGUCUUCUCACUGUGAACUCUUCUUUUUUUCUGUCAGAUUCUGUCCUCCUCCCUCUUUCCUCCGACUCGUCACUUCCUCGUUCCUUUAACUUAUUUUACCUUCCUCCUCAUCCUCCCUUCCUUCCUUCCUUGGAUAAACAUAUUCCUCCCUUGUCCUCUUUUCCUCUUCUUCUUCUUCUUCUUGUCAUCCUUAUUUUCCUUUCCCAACCCACCUCUCCCAUCUUCUCUCUUUCUGUCCUCACUCCAUCUGUUCUGCUGCAGAUUCAGCCAUUUUCUCUUCUCUUCUUCCUCAUCCCUUUCCCUCCCUCUCCUCCUUCCUAA
rnacentral:lncRNA from 1 species